GAGCCAUCUUAACCUAGCCGUUGCGUCAAGAUUUGCAAUUUGCAAAUAACUGGUUGGCUCGUGUCCCGCGGGUGCUUCCUGGCCUUUUU
rnacentral:vault_RNA from 1 species